rnacentral:rRNA from 1 species
UACAGAGGGUGCAAGCGUUAAUCGGAAUUACUGGGCGUAAAGCGUGCGUAGACGGUUGUGUAAGUCAGAUGUGAAAGCCCCGGGCUCAACCUGGGAAUGGCAUUUGAGACUGCAUAGCUAGGAUGCGGAAGAGGGAAGUGGAAUUUCCGGUGUAGCGGUGAAAUGCGUAGAUAUCGGAAGGAACAUCAGUGGCGAAGGCGGCAUCCUGGACCGGUAUUGACGCUGAGGCGCGAAAGCCAGGGGAGCAAACGGG